rnacentral:rRNA from 1 species
AGGGUUUGAUCCUGGCUCAGGAUGAACGCUAGCUACAGGCUUAACACAUGCAAGUCGAGGGGCAGCAUGGUCUUAGCUUGCUAAGGCUGAUGGCGACCGGCGCACGGGUGAGUAACACGUAUCCAACCUGCCGUCUACUCUUGGCCAGCCUUCUGAAAGGAAGAUUAAUCCAGGAUGGGAUCAUGAGUUCACAUGUCCGCAUGAUUAAAGGUAUUUUCCGGUAGACGAUGGGGAUGCGUUCCAUUAGAUAGUAGGCGGGGUAACGGCCCACCAAACCGACGAUCAGUAGCCGGCCUGAGAGGGCGACCGGCCACAUUGGGACUGAGACACGGCCCAA